rnacentral:rRNA from 1 species
UGCGUAGGCGGUGUAGCAAGUCGGGUGUGAAAUCCCUCAGCUCAACUGAGGAAUUGCGCCCGAAACUGCUGCGCUUGAGGAAUACAGAGGUGUGCGGAACUUAGGGUGGAGCGGUGAAAUGCGUUGAUAUCCUAAGGAACACCGGUGGCGAAAGCGGCACACUGGGUAUUUUCUGACGCUCAUGCACGAAAGCUAGGGUAGCGAACG